GGUGAACGCUGGCGGUAGGCCUAACACAUGCAAGUCGAACGGCAGCACAGUAAGAGCUUGCUCUUACGGGUGGCGAGUGGCGGACGGGUGAGGAAUACAUCGGAAUCUACUUUUUCGUGGGGGAUAACGUAGGGAAACUUACGCUAAUACCGCAUACGACCUACGGGUGAAAGCAGGGGAUCUUCGGACCUUGCGCGAUUGAAUGAGCCGAUGUCGGAUUAGCUAGUUGGCGGGGUAAAGGCCCACCAAGGCGACGAUCCGUAGCUGGUCUGAGAGGAUGAUCAGCCACACUGGAACUGAGACACGGUCCAGACUCCUACGGGAGGCAGCAGUGGGGAAUAUUGGACAAUGGGCGCAAGCCUGAUCCAGCCAUACCGCGUGGGUGAAGAAGGCCUUCGGGUUGUAAAGCCCUUUUGUUGGGAAAGAAAAGCAGCAGGUUAAUACCCCGCUGUUCUGACAGUACCCAAAGAAUAAGCACCGGCUAACUUCGUG
rnacentral:rRNA from 1 species